rnacentral:rRNA from 1 species
GAUGAACGCUGGCGGCGUGCCUAAUACAUGCAAGUCGAGCGAACAGACGAGGAGCUUGCUCCCCUGCCGUUAGCGGCGGACGGGUGAGUAACACGUGGAUAACCUACCUAUAAGACUGGGAUAACUUCGGGAAACCGGAGCUAAUACCGGAUAAUAUUUUUAACCGCAUGGUUCACUAGUGAAUGACGGUUUUGCUGUCACUUUUAGAUGGUUCCGCGCCGCAUUAGCUUGUUGGUAAGGUAACGGCUUACCAAGGCGACGAUGCGUAGCCGACCUCAGAGGGUGGUCGGCCACACUGGAACAGAGACACGGUCCAGACUCCUACGGGAGGCAGCAGUAGGGAAUCUUCCGCAAUGGGCGAAAGCUUGACGGAGCAACGCCGCGUGAGUGAUGAAGGUCUUCGGAUCGUAAAACUCUGUUAUUAGGGAAGAACAAAUGUGUAAGUAACUAUGCACGUCUUGACGGUACCUAAUCAGAGAGCCACGGCUAACUACGUG